UACGGAGGGGGCUAGCGUUGUUCGGAAUUACUGGGCGUAAAGCGCACGUAGGCGGCGCGAGAAGUCAGAGGUGAAAGGCCUGGGCUCAACCUGGGAACUGCCUUUGAUACUGGCGUGCUUGAGUCCGGAAGAGGGUGGCGGAAUUCCCAGUGUAGAGGUGAAAUUCGUAGAUAUUGGGAAGAACACCGGUGGCGAAGGCGGCCACCUGGUCCGGUACUGACGCUGAGGUGCGAAAGCGUGGGGAGCAAACAGG
rnacentral:rRNA from 1 species